AUGGCUCAGAUUGAACGCUGGCGGCGUGCUUAACACAUGCAAGUCGCGCGUGAAAGGACUUCGGUCCGAGUAAAGCGGCGCACGGGUGAGUAACGCGUGGAUGAUCUACCCAUGAGUUAGGAAUAACGGCUGGAAACGGUCGCUAAUACCAAAUACGCUCCGAUUUCAACUUCGGGGGAAAGGCGGCCUCUGCUUGCAAGCUACUGCUCAUGGAUGAGUCCGCGUCCCAUUAGCUAGUUGGUGGGGUAACGGCCCACCAAGGCGACGAUGGGUAGCCGGUCUGAGAGGAUGACCGGCCACACUGGGACUGGAACACGGCCCAGACUCCUACGGGAGGCAGCAGUGGGGAAUAUUGCGCAAUGGGCGAAAGCCUGACGCAGCGACGCCGCGUGAGGGGAAUGAAGGUCCUCGGAUCGUAAACCUCUGUCAGGAGGGAAGAACCGCCACGGUGCUAAUCAGCCGUGGUCUGACGGUACCUCCAAAGGAAGCACCGGCUAACUCCGUGCCAGCCGCCGC
rnacentral:rRNA from 1 species